GACGAACGCUGGCGGCGUGCCUAAUACAUGCAAGUAGGACGCAGUUGCGAACGGGUGAGGAACGCGUAGGGAAAUGCCUAGUAGAGGGGGAUAACUAUUGGAAACGAAAGAUAAUACAGCAUACUAGUAGAUGGAACUGAGUUGUAUUAGCUAGUAGGUAGGGUAAUGGCCUACCGAGGCGACGAUACAUAGCCGACCUGAGAGGGUGAUCGGCCCCCCUGGGACUGAGACACGGCCCAGACUCCUACGGGAGGCAGCAGUUGGGAAUCUUCUGCAAUGGGGGGAACCCUGACCGAGCAACGCCGCGUGAGUGAAGAAGGUUUUCGGAUCGUAAAGCUCUGUUGUUAAGGAAGCGGUACUUAACCAGAAAGGGACGGCUAACUACGUGCCAGCAGCCGCGGUAAUUC
rnacentral:rRNA from 1 species